GAAGAGAGAGAGAUAGAGAGCUAGAAACAUCGAUGAGAGAGAGUCAUCGAUCAGCUGCCUCUUGCACACCCCCUACUGGGGAUAUGCCCACAACCAAGGCACAUGCCCUUGACCAGAAUCAAACAUGGGACCUUUCAGUCCACAGGCCAAUGAUCUAUCCACUGAGCCAAACCAGUUUUGGCU